rnacentral:rRNA from 1 species
UUCGCCCUUAGAGUUUGAUCCUGGCUCAGGACGAGCGCUGGCGGCGUGCCUAACACAUGCAAGUCGAACGAAGCAUUUGGAUCUGAUCUCUUCGGAGUGACGAACCUUAUGACUUAGUGGCGGACGGGUGAGUAACACGUGAGCAACCUGCCUCUCAGAGUGGAAUAACAGUUGGAAACGGCUGCUAAUACCGCAUAACGUCAUAGUACCGCAUGAUACCUUGACCAAAGAUUUAUCGCUGAGAGAUGGGCUCGCGUCCGAUUAGGUAGAUGGUGGGGUAACGGCCUACCAUGCCGACGAUCGGUAGCCGGACUGAGAGGUUGAUCGGCCACAUUGGGACUGAGAUACGGCCCAGACUCCUACGGGAGGCAGCAGUGGGGAAUAUUGGGCAAUGGGCGCAAGCCUGACCCAGCAAUGCCGCGUGAAGGAAGAAGGCUUUCGGGUUGUAAACUUCUUUUGUCAGGGACGAGCAGAAGACGGUACCUGACGAAUAAGCCACGGCUAACUACGUGCCAGCAGCCGCGGUAAUACGUAGGUGGCAAGCGUUGUCCGGAUUUACUGGGUGUAAAGGGCGUGUAGCCGGGUCGGCAAGUCAGAUGUGAAAUCUAUGGGCUCAACUCAUAAACUGCAUUUGAAACUGUUGAUCUUGAGUAUCGGAGAGGCAAUCGGAAUUCCUAGUGUAGCGGUGAAAUGCGUAGAUAUUAGGAGGAACACCAGUGGCGAAGGCGGAUUGCUGGACGACAACUGACGGUGAGGCGCGAAAGCGUGGGGAGCAAACAGGAUUAGAUACCCUGGUAGUCCACGCUGUAAACGAUGAAUACUAGGUGUGCGGGGACUGACCCCCUGCGUGCCGCAGCUAACGCAAUAAGUAUUCCACCUGGGGAGUACGAUCGCAAGGUUGAAACUCAAAGGAAUUGACGGGGGCCCGCACAAGCGGUGGAUUAUGUGGUUUAAUUCGAAGCAACGCGAAAAACCUUACCAAGGAUUGACAUCCUAGGAACCCGGCGUAAUGGCUGGGGUGCCCCUUCGGGGGAAUCUAGAGACAGGUGGUGCAUGGUUGUCGUCAGCUCGUGUCGUGAGAUGUUGGGUUAAGUCCCGCAACGAGCGCAACCCUUACUGUUAGUUGCUACGCAAGAGCACUCUGGCAGGACUGCCGUUGACAAAACGGAGGAAGGUGGGGACGACGUCAAAUCAUCAUGCCCCUUAUAUCUUGGGCUACACACGUACUACAAUGGCGCAAACAAAGGGAAGCGACCCCGCGAGGGUGAGCAAAUCCCAUAAAAGGCGUCCCAGUUCGGACUGCAGGCUGCAACUCGCCUGCACGAAGUUGGAAUUGCUAGUAAUCGCGAAUCAGCAUGUCGCGGUGAAUACGUUCCCGGGCUUUGUACUCACCGCCCGUCA